UCAAGAAACUUCCGCAAUGGACGCAAGUCUGACGGAGCGACGCCGCGUGAUGGACGAAGUACCUCGGUACGUAAACAUCUUUUAUGAGGGACGAAAUUAUUGACGGUACCUCAGGAAUAAGGGGCUCCUAACUCUGUGCCAGCAGGAGCGGUAAUACAGAGGCCCCAAGCAUUAUCCGGAAUCACUGGGCGUAAAGGGUGUCGAGGCGGUCGUAUUAGUCGUUUGUAAAAUCCGUGGGCUCAACCUACGGCUCGCAAGCGAAACGGUACGACUUGAGGUUGGGAGAGGUGUGUGGAACUCACGGUGUAGGGGUGAAAUCCGUUGAUAUCGUGGGGAACACCAAAAGCGAAGGCAGUACAUUGGGCCACUCCUGACACUGAAACACGAAAGCGUAGGUAGCGAAUGGGAUUAGAUACCCCUGUAGUCCCUGAGCGGGCUGGCAAGGCGCAU
rnacentral:rRNA from 1 species